GGGUGCGUAGCUCAGUUGGCAGAGCGUUGCACUCACAUUGCAAAGGUCAGAGGUUCGAAUCCUCUCGCACCCACCA
rnacentral:tRNA from 1 species